rnacentral:tRNA from 1 species
GGAGGAGUGCCAGAGCGGUUGAAUGGGACGGUCUCGAAAACCGUUGUGGGGGUGACUCCACCGAGGGUUCGAAUCCCUCCUCCUCCG